rnacentral:rRNA from 1 species
GACGAACGCUGGCGGCGUGCCUAAUACAUGCAAGUAGAACGCUGAAGGAGGAGCUUGCUCUUCUGGAUGAGUUGCGAACGGGUGAGUAACGCGUAGGUAACCUGCCUGGUAGCGGGGGAUAACUAUUGGAAACGAUAGCUAAUACCGCAUAACAGUAGAUGUUGCAUGACAUUUGCUUAAAAGGUGCAAUUGCACCACUACCAGAUGGACCUGCGUUGUAUUAGCUAGUUGGUGGGGUAACGGCUCACCAAGGCGACGAUACAUAGCCGACCUGAGAGGGUGAUCGGCCACACUGGGACUGAGACACGCCCCAGACUCCUACGGGAGGCAGCAGUAGGGAAUCGUCGGCAAGGGACGGAAGUCUGACCGAGCAACGCCGCGUGAGUGAAGAAGGUUGUCGGAUCGGAAAGCUCUGUUGUAAGAGAAGAACGAGUGUGAGAGUGGAAAGUUCACACUGUGACGGUAUCUUACCAGAAAGGGACGGCUAACUACGUG